UACGUAGGGCGCGAGCGUUGUCCGGAAUUAUUGGGCGUAAAGAGCUCGUAGGCGGCCUGUCGCGUCAAUUGUGAAAGCCCGGGGCUUAACCCCGGGUCUGCAGUCGAUACGGGCAGGCUAGAGUGUGGUAGGGGAGAUCGGAAUUCCUGGUGUAGCGGUGAAAUGCGCAGAUAUCAGGAGGAACACCGGUGGCGAAGGCGGAUCUCUGGGCCAUUACUGACGCUGAGGAGCGAAAGCAUGGGGAGCGAACAGG
rnacentral:rRNA from 1 species